GACGAACGCUGGCGGCGUGCUUAACACAUGCAAGUCGAACGGAAAGGCCCUGCUUUCGUGGGGUGCUCGAGUGGCGAACGGGUGAGUAACACGUGAGUAACCUGCCCUUGACUUUGGGAUAACUUCAGGAAACUGGGGCUAAUACCGGAUAGGAGCUCCUGCUGCAUGGUGGGGGUUGGAAAGUUUCGGCGGUUGGGGAUGGACUCGCGGCUUAUCAGCUUGUUGGUGGGGUAGUGGCUUACCAAGGCUUUGACGGGUAGCCGGCCUGGGGGGGUGACCGGCCACAUUGGGACUGAGAUACGGCCAAGACUCCAACGGAGGGCAGCAGUGGGGAAUAUUGCACAAUGGGCGGAAGCCUGAUGCGGCAACGCCGCGUGCGGGAUGACGGCCUUCGGGUGGAAAACCGUUUUCGCCUGUGACGAAGCGUGUGUGACGGUAAUUAGUAAAGAAGCACCGGCUAACUACGUG
rnacentral:rRNA from 1 species